rnacentral:lncRNA from 1 species
AGAUGUGGGGCAGGGAGGAGCAGAUGUGGGGCAGGAAUGGGCAGACGUGGGGCAGGAAGGAUGUGAGGCUCCGUCCCGCUGUGGUUGCAGACCUGGCUGUGUCUGAUCGCGCUGGGCGCCUCGGCGCUGUCCUGCGGAGCCACGCGCUGCUGGGCCUUCGCCGCGCGCCCGGAGCUCUUCCUCCUCAACAACGUCGGCGUGGACGCGGCGGUGACGCGGUGAUGGUGGGAUGGCAGCUGGACAUGGGGCGGCACCGCCAGGAGCUGGCGUGGAACCGGGAUGGAAGCACAGCGGCGUUGGGAUGGAACCGGAAUGGCACCAAAAUGGCACCAAAAUGGGACCAGAAUGACACAGGGGUGGCACUGGGAUGGAACUGGGGUGGUAUUGGGAUGGCACCACAAUGGCGAUGGGAUGGCAUUGGGAUGGCAUUGGGGUGGCACCACAAUGGCACUGGGACAAAACUGGGAUGGCAUUGGGAUGGCACCAUGAUGACAUUAGGAUGGCACUGGGGUGGCACCAUGAUGACAUUAGGAUGGCACUGGGGUGGCACCACAGUGGCACUGCGAUGGCACCAGGAUGGCACCAGAAAUACAGCAGGGUGGCACUGGGAGGACAUUGGGGUGGCAGCAUGAUGACAUUGGGGUGGCACUGCGGUGGCACCAGAAUAACAGCGGGGUGGCACUGCAACAAAAGCAGGAUGGCACUGGGCUGGCGUGUCCCCAAGUGUCCCCAACACGUCCUCAACAAUCUGCAAUGUGUCCCUGAUGGGUCCCCAAUGUCCCCAACGUGUCCUGAACAUGGCCCCAGUGUCCCCAUUGUGUCCCCAUUGUGUCCCCAUCGCAUUCUCAAUGUGUCCCCAACGUGUCCCCAUUGUGUCCCCAACAUAUCCUUAGUGUGUCCCCAGUGUGUCCUCUUGUGUGUCCCCAACGUGUCCCCAAUGUGUCCUUGCUGUGUCCCCAACACAUCCCCAGUGUGUCCCCAAUGGAUCCCCAACAUGUCCCCAUUGUGUCCCCUACGUGUCCCCUGUGUGCCUCAGUGUGUCCCCAACACGUCCCCAAUGUGUCCCCAACAUGUCCCCAGUGCAUCAUCAAUGUGUCCCCAUUGUGUCCCCAACAUAUCCUUAGUGUGUCCCCAACACAUCCCCAGCAUGUCCCCAACAUGUCCCCAUUGUGUCCCCAACACGUCCUCAAUGUGUUCCCAGUGUGUCCCCAUUGUGUCCUUGGUGUGUCCCCAACAUGUCCCUGAUGAGUCCCUGAUGGAUCCCCAGCAUGUCCCCAACAUGUCCCCUAUGUGUCCCCAAUGUGUUCCCAGUGUGCCCCCAUCAGGUCCUCUGUGUGUCCCCAACAUGUCCCCCAUGUGUCCCCAUGGUGUCCUUGGAGUGUCCCCAACACGUCCCCAGUGUGUCUCUGAUGGAUCCCCAGCAUGUCCCCAUUGUGUCCCCAACGUGUCCCCAGUGCAUCAUCAGUGUGUCCCCAACAUGUCCCCAAUGUGUCUGCAAUGUGUCCCUGGUGCGUCCCCAGCAUAUCCUCACUGUGUCCUCUGUGUGUCCCCAACAUGUCCCCCAUGUGUCCCUGUUGUGUCCCCAGUGUGUCCUCGAUGUGUCCCCAGUGCAUCAUCAGUGUGUCCCCAUUGUGUCCCCAACAUGUCCCCAAUGUGUCCCUGAUGGAUCCCCAGCAUGUCCCCAACAUGUCCCCGUUGUGUCCCCUACAUGUCCCCUGUUUGUCCUCAGUGUGUCCCUGGUGUGUCCCCAACACGUCCCCAGUGCAUCAUCAAUGUGUCCCCACUGUGUCCCCAACACAUCCCCCAUUUGUCCCCAUUGUGUCCUUGAUGUGUCCCCAACAUGUCCCCAAUGUGUCCCUGAUGGAUCCCGAACAUGUCCCCACUGUGUCCCCUACAUGUCCCCCAUGUGUCCCCAUUGUGUCCCUGAUGGAUCCCCAGCACGUUCCCAUUGUGCCCCCUAUGUGUCCCCUGUGUGUCCUCGAUGUGUCCCCAACACGUCCCCAGAGCAUCAUCAGUGUGUCCCCAUUGUGUCCCCAACAUGUCCCCCAUGUGUUCCUGAUGUGUCCCCAAUGUGUCCUCUGUGUGUCCCCAACACAUCCCCACUGUGUCCCUGAUGGAUCCCCAUUGUGUCCCCAACAUGUCCCCAAUGUGUCCCCAGUGCAUCAUCAGUGUGUCCCCAUUGUGUCCCCAACAUGUCCUGCAUGUGUUCCCCCAUGUGUCCCCACUGUGUCCCCAACAUGUCCCCAAUGUGUCCCCAGUGCAUCAUCAGUGUGUCCCCAGCGUGUUCCUGAUGAGUCCCCAAUGUGUCCCUGUUGUGUCCCCAGCGUGUCCUCGAUGUGUCCCCAACGUGUCCCCAGCACAUCCUGAACAUAUCCCCAAUGUGUCCCUGCUGUGUCCCCAACCUGUCCCACAUGUGUUACUGAUGGGUCCCCAACCUGUCCCCAAUGUGUCCCCAUUGUGUCCUCAACGUGUCCCCAACCUGUCCUCAGUGUGUCCCUGUUUGGUCCCCAACAUGUCCCACAUGUGUUACAGAUGUGUCCCCAAUGUGUCCCCACUGCGUCCCCAUUGUUUCCUCAGCAUGUCCCCAAUUAUCAUCAUGUCCCCAUUGUGUCCCCACUGUGUCCUCAAUAUGUCCCCAAUUAUCAUCAACCUGUCCCCACUGU